UACGUAGGGUGCAAGCGUUAAUCGGAAUUACUGGGCGUAAAGCGUGCGCAGGCGGCUUUGCAAGACAGAUGUGAAAUCCCCGGGCUUAACCUGGGAACUGCAUUUGUGACUGCAUGGCUGGAGUGCGGCAGAGGGGGAUGGAAUUCCGCGUGUAGCAGUGAAAUGCGUAGAUAUGCGGAGGAACACCGAUGGCGAAGGCAGUGUCCUGGGUGGUCGCUGACGCUGAGAGGCGAAAGCCAGGGGAGCGAACGGG
rnacentral:rRNA from 1 species